GGGAGAUUUGCUGGGACUUGGUUUUGAUGCACCUGAUGCUUCUUCCAUUGAGGAAAAGAAUGCUUUAGCCUUGGCAAUAGUUCCCUCAGAACCUGGUGCUGCUUCUUCAGCAUUUGGUUCUGGUGCUACUCAAUCUAAAGACUUCAAUCCCACUGGAUGGGAGCUUGCUCUGGUCUCUACCCCAAGUACUAACAUCUCUGCGGCUAAUGAGAGGCAACUGGUAAUCUCUGUCUUUAUCUUCUAUGAUUCUGUUGCAAAUGAAUUCUGUGAGCAUUAACAUCACGAACUGUUUGUUUGCUGCUGUUGCUUGACUUUUAUUACAUGGUUAGGAAUUCAAAGGGCAAUUUCAAUGUCUUUUCUUCUGGCCUCGGUAGUCCAAAAAACUCUGAAUUAGUAAUAGCAGUUCUUUUUGUCAUUCAUAACGCUGUUAUGUUGUUAUAUUAGUUGUGUUUUGGGUGCUCUGGUCUUUUAGUUAAUGACUAUGCCUCCAUAGAUUCAAUGGGAACUAAUAGUUUAGUUUGAGGCUUUAAGACUUCCAAAAAAAUGUCUUUUAGCACAUGCAUACUCACAUCUGCUUACACUUGGACAAUACAUGGAUAGACAGAGUGAGAACCAGGAAGGGAUACAUGAUUUUAAGCAACUAAAUUCAAUUGACCCCGUAUCUUUUUAGUACAUGUAUCUUAGGUGGUAGAAAGAAUAUACGAGCACUGGUUUCAUCAUUUUCUCUUCCUCAUGGCAUCAGCUAUGAUUCUUAACUUGUUAUAUCAAUCCAUGAGUUGAUGCCUCUAUGUUGCUGUAGUUAAAAUUAACAUUUAGUUCAUGUUAGAAUGGCAUGUGGACUAUCUACUCAGUGAAAUGGUCACAGACGGACAUCAUAUCAGAGUGAUCUACAUGUCUGCAAUCGAGUAGCCUCCAACUUUUUUUCUUUUAUUUAGAGGGUUUAAGUGUUGUUGUAUCUAUUUUUAAUC